rnacentral:rRNA from 1 species
GAUGAACGCUAGCGGCAGGCCUAAUACAUGCAAGUCGAACGGAUAUAUGUUUUUCGGAAUAUAUAUUAGUGGCGCACGGGUGAGUAACACGUACAUAACUUGCCCUCAAGCGGGGGAUAGCCUUGGGAAACUGAGAGUAAUACCCCAUAGAAUUAUUGGACGGCAUCGUUUGAUAAUUAAAACUACGGUGCUUGGGGAUAGAUGUGCGUCUGAUUAGCUAGUUGGUGAGGUAACUGCUCACCAAGGCGACGAUCAGUAGGGGGCGUGAGAGCGUGGCCCCCCACACGGGUACUGAGACACGGACCCGACUCCUACGGGAGGCAGCAGUGGGGAAUCUUGCGCAAUGGGCGAAAGCCUGACGCAGCGACGCCGCGUGGGUGACGAAGGCCUUCGGGUUGUAAAGCCCUGUGGGGGGAGGACGAACCGGCCUGUGGCUAAUAUCCACGGGUCUUGACGGUAUCCCUUUAGCAAGCAUCGGCUAACUCUGUGCCAGCAGCCGCGGUAAAGUAG